AUUGAACGCUGGCGGCAGGCCUAACACAUGCAAGUCGAACGAGUGGCGGACGGGUGCGUAAUGUCUGUGAAACUUCCUGAUGGAGGGGGAUCACUACUUGAAACGGUCGCUAAUCCCGCAUACCAUCAUAUUUUCCCAUAUGUGAUUAGCUAGUUUGUUGGGUAACGGCUCACCAAGGCGACGAUCCCUAUCUGGUCUGAGAGGAUGACCAGCCAAACUGGAACUGGGAAACGGCCAAGACUCCUACGGGAGGCAGAAGGGGGGAAGAUUGCCCAAGGGGAGCAAGCCGGAUGCAGAAAUGCCGCGUGUAUGAAGAAGGCCUCCGGGUUGUAAAGUACGUUCAGCGGGGAGGCGUUACCCGAAGAAGAAGCACCGGCUAACUCCGUGCCAGCAGCCGCGGUAAUUC
rnacentral:rRNA from 1 species